UACGUAGGGUGCGAGCGUUAAUCGGAAUUACUGGGCGUAAAGCGUGCGCAGGCGGUUUUGCAAGCCGGGUGUGAAAUCCCCGGGCUUAACCUGGGAAUGGCAUUUGGGACUGCAAGGCUGGAGUGCGGCAGAGGAGACUGGAAUUCCUGGUGUAGCAGUGAAAUGCGUAGAUAUCAGGAGGAACACCGGUGGCGAAGGCGACUCUCUGGUCUGUAACUGACGCUGAGGCGCGAAAGCGUGGGGAGCGAACAGG
rnacentral:rRNA from 1 species